UGAUCGACAAUGUAUUCCAGUCCAUGCAUGGUUCCAUAAAUCCAGACCUUGUUUCACAUUUUAUGCCGUUUCUUCAGAUCUUCACAUGAUGAUGGAGCAAACCGAACCGGCGCUCCAUUGCGUUCGGCGUGCUUACUCGAUUUUUAUGAUGACGCCUGAAACAUGUACAAUUUUCUUCGAAUUGGAUCUUCAGAACUACUAUAAAGUCCUUUCGCAGCACAUCACGCCGAGAUAAAUUCUUACUGCAUCUGUUGAUCAGUAGCUUCGACCUCAUUAUUCAAACAUGUCGUGUACCUUUUGGAUAAAAAAAGUCGCAAAAGCUCAUCUAAAACGCUUCCGAGUGGUGGUUAUUUAGCGAAGUUGUACCGUCACUGAGUCGUCGUUAUGAUGGACAAAACAUUCUUCUCGACGAGUUCAAAAACUUCAUGUAUGGACGUGAAUAUACGAAAGUAUAUCCAGUGAUUUGAAAUACUUCUAUAGUGAUGUAAUCAUCUGCAUCUGUUUACCAUACCAACAGUCAAUAUUCAGAAAGGUGGAUAAAUGAAGACUCUUUAACCACAUUGAAAAAUAAUUCUAUAAGAACUUUUAAUAAAGAGGAGAAUGUGAAGUCUAACGAAGUGCGAAAUGCAACGGGACGAUCUUUAAAAGCUAAACAUAUAAACACAACUGCUUGUCCUUGACCUUGGUGAUUCGUUAUCUUUACUAAUAUGAAGAUGUCAUUGAAUGUCUUCGAGUACUUUUGAAAUUCAUUAAUUCGCGAGUGUUUUGAAGGAUUAUAGAUAGGUGCGA